rnacentral:misc_RNA from 1 species
GCCGGUUUAUUUUCGGAGUGAUUGGCUGCGUUACCGAGGAGUCCGAAGUUUGGUAUCCCGGUCCCGUCUGAUCGCCCGAGCGCACUUUGGGUCGUGAGGACACGUCGUCGGUCGGUGCACCGUAGCAGAGUCGGACUUUUGGGUACCCGGCAUCCGUACAGGUCGCGUGGGCGCGACGCCACGCGCGGUCAUCGACCCCCAUCGGCAAGGACGUCGCAAGGACACACGCGAGACCCGAAACCAGUUACCCGGGCGUCUUCCUAUGCGGUAGACAACGUGAGAGUAGAAGUGCAACGAUGUCGUCGCUACGAACUAACGAAGUCGUCUAGAGAUACGGGCGGGCGAACGACUACGUUGAGGAAGACCAGAAGCUGUACACAGUUUACAGUCGGUUGUCUGCCGCGGAUGCGAAACA